rnacentral:rRNA from 1 species
CACGUAGGGGGCGAGCGUUGUCCGGAUUUAUUGGGCGUAAAGAGCUCGUAGGCGGUUUGUCGCGUCUGCCGUGAAAAUCCGGGGCUCAACCCCGGACUUGCGGUGGGUACGGGCAGACUAGAGUGUGGUAGGGGAGACUGGAAUUCCUGGUGUAGCGGUGAAAUGCGCAGAUAUCAGGAGGAACACCGAUGGCGAAGGCAGGUCUCUGGGCCACUACUGACGCUGAGAAGCGAAAGCGUGGGGAGCGAACAGG